rnacentral:lncRNA from 1 species
CAAUGAACAAUGGAGAAAGAUGAGGAUAUGGAGAAUCGACGACAUCCGAGUGAUAAAAAGACGGAUACUCAUCUUUCUCUGGGGGGAAGAAAAGAGGACAUAUAUAUAUGUGUUGGUCGCCAUUUUGAGUGGGCGGUAUCUUCCGCAGCAUCGAGUGCACAGUAUCUUUGGUGACAUCUGUAGCAGCAUCGUAGCAGUAUCUUCAGCAGUAUUAGUCACGAUAUCUAUCAUUGUGCAUUUAUAGUGAUUCGUCUUUAGUUUAUUUUUUUUGGUUGUUCACUUGUAAAAUUUGUUCCUGUUCUUCUAUUGCUGCCUACAAAACAAAUAAAGACUAAAGACCUAUAAAUUAGUGGUGUGCAUCCAUAUCAGGAAUUAGUCAAUCCUUAUAUAUACAGAAACUUGAACAGUAUUU